rnacentral:rRNA from 1 species
GACGAACGCUGGCGGCGUGCCUAAUACAUGCAAGUAGAACGCACAGUUUAUACCGUAGCUUGCUACACCAUAGACUGUGAGUUGCGAACGGGUGAGUAACGCGUAGGUAACCUGCCUGGUAGCGGGGGAUAACUAUUGGAAACGAUAGCUAAUACCGCAUAAUAUUGAUUAUUGCAUGAUAAUUGAUUGAAAGAUGCUAUUGCAUCACUACCAGAUGGACCUGCGUUGUAUUAGCUAGUAGGUGAGGUAACGGCUCACCUAGGCGACGAUACAUAGCCGACCUGAGAGGGUGAUCGGCCACACUGGGACUGAGACACGGCCCAGACUCCUACGGGAGGCAGCAGUAGGGAAUCUUCGGCAAUGGACGAAAGUCUGACCGAGCAACGCCGCGUGAGUGAAGAAGGUUUUCGGAUCGUAAGGCUCUGUUGUAAGAGAAGAACGGGUGUGAGAGUGGAAAGUUCACACUGUGACGGUAUCUUACCAGAAAGGGACGGCUAACUACGUG